AUCCAGCUUACUAGUCUCAAAUAGGACGAAACGCGCAUCCUGGAU
rnacentral:hammerhead_ribozyme from 1 species